rnacentral:rRNA from 1 species
CGCCCCCAGCCGUUUAUCUCACCUUUUGCACCAAGUCGUCCCCGGUGGAAUCAAUACCUGCGCUCUCUUCGUCACCACCUCCCCGUCUCGGAAGGUGCGGCUGGAUCACCUC